rnacentral:rRNA from 1 species
AGAGUUUGAUCCUGGCUCAGGACGAACGCUGGCGGCGUGCUUAACACAUGCAAGUUGUGCGAGAACGCUUACCUUCGGGUAAGCAAGUAAAGCAGCGGACGGGUGAGUAACGCGUGAAGAAUCUGUCCUUAAAUUGAGAAUAACCUUGUGAAAGUAGGGCUAAUUCUCAAUAAUCUGAUAGGUGAGCAUUCACCAAUCAGAAAAGACGGUUUAUCUGUCGUUUGAGGAGGUCUUCGCGUCGGAUUAGCUAGCUGGUAGGAUAACAGCCUACCAGGGCAUCGAUCCGUAGCUGGUCUGAGAGGACGAUCAGCCACACUGGGACUGAGACACGGCCCAGACUCCUACGGGAGGCAGCAGUGGGGAAUCUUCCGCAAUGGGCGCAAGCCUGACGGAGCAACGCCGCGUGAGUGAAGAAGGUCUUCGGAUUGUAAAGCUCUGUCGUUGGGGAAGAAAGAUAGAUGUAGUAACUGGCAUCUAUUUGACGGUACCCAUCGAGGAAGCCCUGGCUAACUACGUGCCAGCAGCCGCGGUAAUACGUAGAGGGCAAGCGUUGUCCGGAAUCAUUGGGCGUAAAGGGUAGGCAGGCGGAUAUGCAAGUCAAAUGUGGAAGGUACCGGCUCAACCGGUAGAGUGCAUUUGAAACUGUAUAUCUUGAGUACAGCAGAGGAGAGCGGAAUUCCUGGAGUAGCGGUGAAAUGCGCAGAUAUCAGGAAGAACACCAGUGGCGAAAGCGGCUCUCUGGGCUGUAACUGACGCUCAUCUACGAAAGCUAGGGCAGCGAACGGGAUUAGAUACCCCGG